CCCCCGUUCUUUGUUCACCGCUCGUCCAUACCGACAAGCCCCGACCUCCCCACCAUCGGCACCGCGUGACGCCAUGAAACAGAUCCCACCUGACGCCUCCCACCGGGCCAAGCGCGAAUGCGAACGAAGGAAUUGUUGCAAGAGAGAGAGAGAGUGAGAGAGAAGAAGGAAGGAAAGAGGGAGGCUUGUUUGCAGAUUGCCUGCCUGGGAUGCCGAUAAGUUUCUGGCAACCCUAGUUGCGCAUACUUUUCUCUCCCCUUUCCCUGCUCCACGCUCAUGUGAGGUGAUGUGAUGUGGGUUUCCCUCCCUUUCAUCCACGGGUUCGCAUUGCCGAUGCUGUUGCGCUUGCGAGCCCAAUCGAUUCAGGACCUGGUCGAUGAUCUGCUCUCGGUCUCUAAGCACCUCUAGAAUCAGAGGGGGAUUUUUCACCUCGUUCAUUCAACGCUGGAGGUGGAAUUGCGGUGAAUUCCUGUGCGACUGGGGAGCUGUUCAAGUGCAGGAUGCGUGGGUGCUGUGGGUCGGGGAACGUGGAUGUGGGGAGAUGGUUGCGAGGGGUUUAUGCAAGUUUUUGCUAGUGCCAGUGGGCGGAAUGCAGGUUUUUAGGAGAAUCCGUGGGCGGCAAUAGUUGUGGGUGGCAUUAAGCGGGGCAUGAGGGCUUUAUAUGAAACAUUUUGGACCCUUUUUGCGAAGGGUUGAUACUGGAGGUUUAUUCCUUCGGGAGAUACGUCGGUGACUGUUUUGGGUUUGUAUGUAAAUUGUUUUGGGCUGGGAGAGUUGAAGGGGCGGAUUUCAUUUUCUGGGUUUUAGAACCAUCUGCUCAUGAAAGUCGCUUGUCUAGGUCACAUUCUAGGUUAGUUUGGAGUUAUGAUGUUUCUCGAUGCAUAAGGGUAGGGGUCUUGCUGCAGCCGAAGCUUCCGACUUCAUGUGGGCAUUUUUGGUAUUACCACAUUGGAGCCGCGUGCCUUGGCACCUUUCCGUGUGCUCAUUGACGAUCCGUGGAAGAAUUGCGUGUCUACCAAAGUUGGCAAGUUAGAUUGACCUAAAAGGAAUUUUAUAUGGGGACGAGCAAGACAAGAUGAUCACGCAACCUUCACUUUGACAUUUGGUCUGCAAUCUUUCGUCACCUUAUGAAGGACUACACUUAGCUUUAGUCUUGGAGCUACACCUGGGAAUGCAGGGACGUUUACCAGAUCUCAGGGAGCCAUAUUCUAUUUGGUUCUCCUCAUUUGUUUCUCAGAGUGCAGCUGGCAUGGCUUCUAACGGCGAUUGCUUUUUUCGAAUGCUUGCGAUAGCUCCAAGACCCCGAGAAUUGACUGGGGCAGUCGAUCUUGUAUCUCAUUAUCAACUGAAGGAACAGUUCGAAGCAUUUUGCAAGAAGCCUUCGCCAACAUCGGUUUCCGAUUCUAUGUACUUGGGCAAUGUGGUUGGAGAUAGUGAAUUUCGGAGGGGAGAGGGCAUGGAGCUUUGUCAACUUGUACAGGGUUCCGCUGGGUCCUGGAUGCCUUCAGAUCGUGUGCCCUUUCAGCAUUUUGAUAUUGAACUGCUACGGAGGGCCUUCGCCUUGAAAGAAACCGGCCCGAUCUUUUUACCAGAGUCUGAAAGGGGAUUACCAACCAUCCGUGUGAAGAGUAAGGAUCAAGAUGAAGACAAGAAGAAGAGGAAGCAUAAGCACCGCAGCAAGGAUAGGGAAAAAGCCAAAGACAAGGAAAAGAAGAAGGAUAGGGAUAAAGACAAGAAGAGAGACAAAGACAAAGACAAAGACCGGAGCAAAGGAGAGAAUGGCGAGAAGAAGCAUAAGAAGAAGAAGAGGAGGCAUGAUGGGGAAGAAGGUGAUGACGGACAUAAACACAAAUCUAAAAAGCGCAAACACUCUUCAAAGAUGGAAGGCCAAACUAUUUUGAUCAAGAGCGGAAAAUGAAAUGGGCGUGUCCUCAUUUUUUAUGAAGGUCUUUUCCUUGGGUUUCGCAGAAUCUUGCACAGAGCUCACCAGUCUUUUGAUUUGAUCGAGUUCAUGAUUUAUAUAACGAGGUCAUAUUAUGUGGUUGAAUGUUCUGCAGCCAAAACGUGGUGAGUGGAAGAUUUCCUGCUUCGAGAAUUCAAGUGUCGAUUUUGUUUUUGGCAUGGAAUCUUAGAAUGUGGAGCGCUUAACAAGUUUUGAUUCUGAAGUUGCAUGUAGUGUUUCAGAUCACUCAAACGGCAUGUACUAUAUUCUCCUUUGUGAUUCAAGAGUUUGACGUGGCAGGAGGUUCUUCGUAGGAGUGCACAUUUGCACUUAGGAAUCUUUGACUUGCAAAAUGUAAGUCAUAGUGAAGACAAUUGGUAGCUUCUUAACCCAAGUUGUGAGGUUGAAGCCCUCUAUUAGAGGGCACCCGUGAUAUGUCCAUGUAAUUCACGUGAACUUGUGUCUGACAACAAACCACUGCUAGUUCAGGGUUUGCUUCUACUGGGAUUCGAUUGCUGUGUGGAAUAUUUGAGGAUAGUUUUGUAGUCAUUCCUUCUCGGGGAAAAAUAUAUUUGCUUGACUUGCUAAGCCAUUCGGCCCGAGUCUUCGUAGAGAAUAUGAAACUCUGGGGAAUCCUAGCCCUCCUUUUA